AUGCAACAGUCCUCUCGAGGAUUUAAUUUCUCUAAAUCUCUUUUUAAAGAUUUCCUGGGUGCCUGGUGUGCAAUGGUUGCAAACAACAUCCUCCUUGGUAGUGCAUGCAACCUGUUCCUUGUAUGGAUUGCCCUAAGGGACCUUGGAGACAGUC
rnacentral:snoRNA from 1 species